UUUCAAAAAUCAGUGUGAACUGGGCUUAACCCACAUGAAUUAUGCUAACUGUCUGUAUUUUUAAUGUUUGUUUUGUUAGUUCUUAGAAUGUCAUGCAGAGGGCACUAGGUCCAAAUUUCUCCUGCCUGUACGUGAAGAAGAGUGAGGCAGCGGGGAGAAGAAAAAGAAAUGGCGGACUACAGAACAGAAGUAGAGCCGUUACUACUCAUAGAUGCUGCUGUGAUAUGAAACAAAUCUGUUUAUUAACAUACAUGCUAAUGGCUACCUAGCUGGAGCUAACCGGGGAAAAAACCAACCGGAGUAAAAGGUGUCGGUCUGUUGGUUAGUUUGGACGGCCGAUAUCUGAACGAGCCAAUGGAGCUCCAGGAGCAGGAGGGACCCGCCGCCAUCUUUGUUACUCGGACAGAAGCCUGGAAGGACGGAGGGACCGGCGCUGCUGGAUCUUUUGCUUGGAUAACAGAUAAGCUUAUUGGACAAAA